rnacentral:rRNA from 1 species
CCUACGGGAGGCAGCAGUGGGGAAUAUUGCACAAUGGGGGAAACCCUGAUGCAGCGACGCCGCGUGAGUGAGGAAGUAUUUCGGUAUGUAAAGCUCCAUCAGCAGGGAAGAAAAUGACGGUACCUGACUACGAAGCCCCGGCUAACUACGAGCCAGCAGCCGCGGUAAUACGGAGGGGGCCAGCGUUAUCCGGAUUUACUGGGUGUAAAGGGAGACUAGACGGCUAAUCAAGUCAGUAGUGAAACGCCAGGGCUCAAACUUGGGACUGCUUGUGAAACUGAGUCGCGAGAGUGCAGGAGAAGUAAGCGGAAUGCGUGGUGUAGCGGUGAAAUGCGUAGAUAUUAGGAGGAACACCAGUGGCGAAGGCGGCUUACUGGACUGUAACUGACGUUGAGGCUCGAAAGCGUGGGGAGCGAACAGGAUUAGAGACCCGAGUAGUC